GAGUUUGAUCGUGGCUCAGAACGAACGCUGGCGGCAUGCUUCAUACAUGCAAGUCGAACGGUUGUAGCAAUACAAUAGUGGCGAACGGGUGCGUAACACGUGGAUAAUCUGCCCUUUGGCGGGGGAGUAUCGGCUGGAAACGGCCGGCAAUACCGCAUGUGGCCUACGGGACCCGAGGUCCUGUAGAAGAAAGGCGCUUCACGGCGUCGCCAGAGGAUGAGUCCGCGGCCCAUUAGCUAGUUGGUGAGAUAACAGCCCACCAAGGCUUUGAUGGGUAGCCGAGCUGAGAGGUUGAUCGGCCACACUGGGACUGAGAUACGGCCCAGACACCUACGGGUGGCAGCAGUAGGGAAUAUUGGACAAUGGGCGAAAGCCUGAUCCAGCAAUGCCGCGUGAGUGACGAAGGAUUUCGGUCUGUAAAGCUCUUUUGUCCGGGAAGAACGUUUUGGCUAAUAACCAAGACUACUGACGGUACCGGAAGAAUAAGGACCGGCUAACUACGUGCCAGCCGCCGCCGU
rnacentral:rRNA from 1 species